rnacentral:rRNA from 1 species
AUUGAACGCUGGCGGCAGGCCUAACACAUGCAAGUCGAACGGUAACAGGAAGACGCUUGCUUCUUUGCUGACGAGUGGCGGACGGGUGAGUAAUGUCUGGGAAACUGCCUGAUGGAGGGGGAUAACUACUGGAAACGGUAGCUAAUACCGCAUAACGUCGCAAGACCAAAAAGGGGGACCUUCGGGCCUCUUGCCAUCGGAUGUGCCCAGAUGGGAUUAGCUAGUAGGUGGGGUAACGGCUCACCGAGGCGACGAUCCCUAGCGGGUCUGAGAGGAUGACCAGCCACACUGGAACUGAGCCACGGUCCAGACUCCUACGGGAGGCAGCAGUGGGGAAUAUUGCACAAUGGGCGCAAGCCUGAUGCAGCCAUGCCGCGUGUAUGAAGAAGGCCUUCCGGUUGUAAAGUACUUUCAGCGGGGAGGAAGGGAGUAAAGUUAAUACCUUUGCUCAUUGACGUUACCCGCAGAAGAAGCACCGGCUAACUCCGUG